AUACCUGGUUUGUGUACACAGUGUGGGACUGUAUUCACAGUUAUGCAGAUGGGAAUAUGCAAAUAAUCCUCUGAAGUCAUGGCUAACAGGAAGUUACUUUAACAUUAUGGCAGAAGAAUAAUUUUCCAGAACAGCCAAAAAAUGCCACAGCAAAAGCAGUAAGAAAUCAUGAGAAACAGUAUCUUCAGUCAAGCUGUGAAAGGAGUCGGCAUACUGAUGAAGAAAAAGUACAGAAAUGUUGUCUUACAUCCCGAGGGCUGGAGCAGUAACAGAACUUUUGCAGUACAGAACACAGAACGAGCAGGAACUUUAUAGGCAAAAAUGUCCAUGGACUGUGACACAAAUCGGCCAGCCUCGGACUUUCUCUGCUGUCACAGCUGGGCACAGGUAUCAAAACUGUGAAUGUCUAAAUUGGGUUCCUAUAUGUCUGUAUGCAACAGAAGAUUAGGUGUGUGUUUAGGAAAAAUGGAGAGAGUAUGUACAUCUAAUUAAUUAGGUUUUUCUUAGCUCAUUUCUGAAUGACAGCAGGGAUGAUGAUCAACAGAAUCAGGUUGCUCUAAUUACUUUGCAUUCACCCAUGAGCACACCACACACCACAGCUGUAGGAGCUAAGUUUCAGUCAGACUGGCAGAGGCUUUGUCAGUGAGCAAGAGCUUGCAAUGAAAUGGCAACGUUUUCCUCAAAAAAUCUUGCUUUGCAUUGCUUGUAUUCAAGUGUCUGGCAAUCUACUAUUAAUCUAGGUAU